rnacentral:lncRNA from 1 species
AGUCAGCCCUGCGGUGCGGUGGGCAUUGCCAGAGCAGGGCGCCCCCUGCAGGGACGCACCCGGGGCGGGGGCCAGGCUGGGGCGAGCCCCCCUUGGUUCUGGAGAGGAAAUGACAUACAGUUUGUGAAAGCAUAAAUAUUCGUGAAAAUAAGAAAAUUCAGGAAGGAAACAAAGCUUAAGGCAGUGAUUGAUAGGUUAUUUCUUGGACACAGCUGAACGUAUACUGUGCGCCUGCAACUUUCCGGUGGUUUCGGACCGGACUUCAGUGAAGCCAGUGAAGUCGGUCGACUUGCAGAACUUCCUUUCAGAGGGGCGUACACAGCACCGCGGCCGUGUGCCUGUGAUCUCCUUCUGAGUUUGAAAAAGAAGAUCCUAGACACCGAGCCAAAUAUGUUUGCAUAAACCGGGAGACUUGUGGCUCUAUUUUGUAACAGCUUGGCGCAGGGCAGCUGGUUUGGAGAUGUCUCUGUUCUUCCCUUGGUGGGGGUGCCGGAAAAAAUGUGCUGCCUGGGCGAUCGAGGUUGGGGCAAAAGCGUUGCAAAGGAAAAGGUGGGAGGACUCUACUUUCACAUUUCCCAAAAGAGUUUUACCAUAAGACUAUUUCUGGAUUGUUCUAACGUGAGGAUAUUGGGAGCAUUUUGAAAAUACUGGAGGAAAAGCUGUCACUGGGCGAUUUAAAUCCGGUAAGUUGGCCAAGGCAGAGCAGCUGCUGGGGUCAGCGACAGCUGACCCUUGCAGCUGAGUAUCUUGCCCUCUUAAUCUUGGAGAUCAGCCCAAGGCCCAUGUGUUACAGGAAAGGGGUCCCGAUCUAGACCCCAAGAGAGGGUUCUUCGAUCUCACGCAAGAAACAAUUCAGAGUAAGUCCACAGUGCAAAGUAAAAGCAAGUUUAUUAAGAAAGUAAAGUGGUGGCUGGGCACAGUGGCUCACGCGUAAUCCCAGCACUUUGGGAGGCUGAGACGGACAGAUCACCUGAUGUCAGGAGUUCAAGACCAGCUGGCCAACAUGGCAAAACCCCGUCUCUACUAGAAAUACAAAUAUUGGCCGGGCGUGGUGGCGCAAGCCUGUUGUCUCAGCUACUCACGGGGCUGAGGCAGGAGAAUCGCUUGAACCCGGGAGGCAGAGGCUACAGUGAGCCGAGAUCGCCACUGCACUCCAGCAGGGCAUUCCUGAAAAUAAGAGGAGGGACAUAUCCAACUAAGGAAGCUGGAAAGUCCAAGAUCAGGGAGUCAGCAUCUGGUGAAGGCCUUCUUGCUGUGUCAUCCCAUGGUGGAACAUGGAAGGGUAAGAGAGCACACGCAAGAGACAGCAAGAGCCAAAGGGGGCCACACUCAUUUUUCCAUUAGGAGCUCACUCCCAACUCCACGAUAAUGAACCCACUCCCACAAUCAUAGCAUUAAUCCAUUCAUGUGGGUGAAGCCCUCAUGACCUAUUCACCUCUCAAAGGUCCCACCUCUUAACACUGUUUCACUGGGGAUUAAGUUUCCAACAUAUGAACUUUGGAGAACAUAUUUAAGCCAUAGUAUCCCUCCAGACCCUCCUCUCCACCCUCCUCUGCCAUGCUUGGUGUCCUGAAAUGCUGACCUUUAUGAAUUGCAUCAUCCAGUCUACUUUGCCCUAGCUUCUGGUCAGGUUCAGCCAACGAAAGGCACUGGAGGCAGGGGCUAGAGGAGAAUGAGAUCAGAGUAUUUAUAUCCUGCUCUCUCCCUGCAAUGAAUUGGUAUUCCCAUAACAAAUUGGUAUUCCCAUAACAAAGGCUGCAACUCUUAUCAAGUGGCCGAUAUUCUAAACACACCUGCCCUUGCCCCCCUCAGAUCCAGGAGAGGUAAAGGCUUCCUGCUGUUGCUAGCUCUGUCAUGCUUCACCACCCCUUAACCUUGCCCACAUCCCUGCAAGCGGUCCUUCACUACAUGCUCCUGAGACACCCAGUUUGAGAUGCUGUUUACUUCCUGAUGGAACCUUGACCACACAGACAUCAUUGCUAUUUCCAUCCUAGCACACGUCCUCAGGCCACUGCACCUCCCCCAGGCAUCAUCAAUAAUUCUUCAUGUCCUCUUGAAGCACAUGUGACAUGGCAUUCCUGCUGCACAGCCACCUGUGGCAACAAGGAAGGGAGCAGCUCUCCCUGCUCAGCAUCACUCUGUUAGAGGAUUCUAAGGGGAUGAACUGCUUGUGCUCCAAUGUCUUCUAGGGUUUUUAGUGAAAUGGCUCCUUCUGUUUUACCUUCAUGAGGCUGGAGGAGGAGUCCUGAGUGGGGAGGUGCUGAGUUGGAAGGAGCCAAGAGCCAUGCUCUAGCAGAGAGGGCACUGCCUUGGGUACAGGUGCUGGGCCUGGGAGCUGACUCUGCCACUAAAAGGCCAUGAGACCAUGGACAAGUCACUCUCAUUUUCAGGCCUCCAUUUCCUCACCUGUAUCACGGGGGCCGGACUCAGCGAUUCUCAAGCUGCUCUGGGCCCCCAGCCUUACUUCUGCCAUAGCAGCUCCUGUUUGGUCUAUUUUAGAAUGUGAGCUUUUGUGAAAAUUUCCUUUAAGGAAUGGGUUCCACUGCUUUAAAAACACUUGGAAACAACUGGACUAGAAGAUCUAAGGUCCCUUCCAGCCCCUACAUUUUUGAGCAUAAAACCAAUCUUGUUUUUUUCACCAUUGUGCCAAGGAAGCACUGGUUCCAAGAAUUAAUGGAAAAUAGAUGAUUAAAGGCCCAUCUCCUGCCAGGCUCGCUGCCAUGGCAAAUCUACCAUGACUGGGUAAAAGGUUUUGCUUCACAUCCAUCCUCAGCACCUUCUCACUUCCUUCUCACUUGCUUCUGCCACUAUUCCUAAGCAAGCUAAAGAAAGGGAAAUUUUAAAUCCAUUGCAUAAAAUGCAAACCAGCCUAGUAAACAAAAAUGUGGAAAAGAUGGCAAGGGAUAAAUCAUGUGCCUUUUCAGCCUUUAUAAACAGACCUUGGGAGCUUUACAAAGGCUUGACUUAUGGCAAUGGAAGCUGGCAGCCCUCCGUAGUUCAUUCCAGAUGUUUGGUGCUAGAGAGAAUUACAGGGCAGUGGUUAAUAGUUUGGGCUCUGCGGUCAGAAAGAUAUGAGUUCAAUUCCUUGUGCUUCCAUUCACUAACUGGGUGAUCUUGGUUAGAUGUGCUGGACUGUAAAAUCAUCAUCAUCACCAUAUCUAUUUUAUUGAGUUAUCAUGAGGACUGGGAGUGAGUUAAUACAUGUACAAUGUUUAGCACAGUGCCUAGCACAUAGAAAAUACCCAAUAAAUUAGCUCUUUGAUGUUAUUGUUGUUAGAAUUACUACUCCCAUUGGCUUCCAGGAAGCUCAGAGAUCAGAGCUCAGUUGAAUAUUCAACUAAAAAAAUCCUCCGGCUGGGCAUGGUGGUUCAUGCCUGUAAUCCCAGCAUUUUGGGAGGCCAAGGCAGGCAGAUCACCUGAGGUUGGGAGAUUGAGACCAUCCUAGCUAACACGGUGAAACCCUGUCUCUACUAAAAAUACAAAAAAUUAGCUGGGUGUGGUGGCACAUGCCUACAAUCCCAGCUACUUGGGAGGCUGAGGCAGGAGAAUUGGUUAAACCCAGGAGGCGGAGGUUGCGGUAAGCUGAGAUCGCGCCACUGCACUCCAGCCUGGGCAACAAGAGUGAAACUCCAUCUCAAAUAAAUCAAUAAUAAAAAAAAAAAACUUCUAGGUACCAUUUGCUUCCUUUCCAUGUCCAUUUAUGGCAUCUUUUAAGAUAGUUGUUAUUUAUCGAGUGCUUAUUUUUGCCAGGACUUACAGGCACUACCCUACACCUAGCACAGUGCUUAGGGUAUUGGAAAUAACUCAAUAAAUUGUGGCAGAAUAAAUGAAUGAUCUUAUCCAAUGCUCCCAGCAACUCUAAGAAGUAGAUAUCAUUAUCUCAAUUAUAGUAGACUUUUUUUGUUAUUAUUGUUGACAUCUGAGACUACUUCCUGAUUGUGGGGAAUCUGCCCUUGUGUGAGGGUCUCAUCUUGGAUGCUGAGAAAGUGAAAAACUCCCCUGGACCUCUGGUAGCAGGAACACAGAUAUACAAACCAAGUACAGCUAAUCAGAUCCUCACCUGGGACUUUUUUUAAAUUUUAGUUUUUAUUUAUUUAUUUAUUUUGAGACGGAAUCUCGCUCUGUCACCCAGGCUGGAGUGCAGUGGUGCGAUCUCGGCUCACUGCAAGCUCUGCCUCCUGGGUUCACGCC